GAGAAAAGCAGGGGAUCGCAAGACCUUGCGCUUUUGGAGCGGCCGAUGUCUGAUUAGCUAGUUGGUGAGGUAAAGGCUUACCAAGGCUUCGAUCAGUAGCUGGUCUGAGAGGACGACCAGCCACACUGGGACUGAGACACGGCCCAGACUCCUACGGGAGGCAGCAGUGGGGAAUUUUGGACAAUGGGGGAAACCCUGAUCCAGCCAUGCCGCGUGAGUGAAGAAGGCCUUCGGGUUGUAAAGCUCUUUCAGCCGGAACGAAACGGUCACGGUUAAUAACUGUGAUCACUGACGGUACCGGAAGAAGAAGCACCGGCUAACUACGUGCCAGCAGCCGCGGUAAUACGUAGGGUGCGAGCGUUAAUCGGAAUUACUGGGCGUAAAGCGUGUGUAGGCGGUUUUGUAAGUCAGAUGUGAAAUCCCCGGGCUUAACCUGGGAACUGCGUUUGAAACUACAAGGCUAG
rnacentral:rRNA from 1 species